ensembl:lncRNA
ACCAGCCAAAUUAGUCUUCUCCUAGUUGGCACAGACAGUGACAGUCAGGCCGUAGCACGACAGUCUUGUCCGGAUGCCGUUGACCGCUGCUCUGACGAUAUUCACUUUCUAGCGCUGUAUUUAGGAGUUCCCUGUGGGUAGAUGGUCAGCCUGUGACAUCUACUGGCAUGGAGUGUCCUUCCAUGACAACGAUAACAUCCUCUCUGGACAGGUCAACAAGUUCCCAGGUAUGAUAGAGAUGCUGAGAAAGAUCAACCUGAGCCGAGCGGUGAGGACCAUGCAGGAGCUGUUCCCUGAGGAGUACAAAUUCUACCCCCGCUCCUGGAUCCUACCUAGGGAGUACCACCGCUCCUGAAUCCUACCUGAGGAGUACAACUUCUACCACCGCUCCUGAAUCCUACCUGAGGAGUACAACUUCUACCCCCGCUCCUGGAUCCUACCUGAGGAGUACCACCGCUCCUGAAUCCUACCUGAGGAGUACAAUUUCUACCACCGCUCCUGGAUCCUACCUGAGGAGUACAACUUAUACCCCCGCUCCUGGAUCCUACCUGGGGAGUACCACCGCUCCUGGAUCCUACCUGAGGAGUACCACCGCUCCUGGAUCCUACCUGAGGAGUACAACUUCUACCACCGCUCCUGGAGCCUACCUGGGGAG